rnacentral:rRNA from 1 species
CAGUAGCCGCGGUAAUACGUAGGUGGCAAGCGUUGUCCGGAAUUAUUGGGCGUAAAGGGCUCGCAGGCGGUUUCUUAAGUCUGAUGUGAAAGCCCCCGGCUCAACCGGGGAGGGUCAUUGGAAACUGGGAAACCUGAGUGCAGAAGAGGAGAGUGGAAUUCCACGUGUAGCGGUGAAAUGCGUAGAGAUGUGGAGGAACACCAGUGGCGAAGGCGACUCUCUGGUCUGUAACUGACGCUGAGGAGCGAAAGCGUGGGGAGCGAACAGGAUUAGAUACCCCCGUAGUCCCUGUCUCUUAUAC